GAUGAAGAACGUAGCGAAAUGCGAUAAGUAAUGUGAAUUGCAGAAUUCAGUGAAUCAUCGAAUCUUUGAACGCACAUUGCGCCCGCCAGUAUUCUGGCGGGCAUGCCUGUUCGAACGUCAUUUCAACCAUCAAGCCCCCGGCUUGUGUUGGGGACCUGCGGCUGCCGCAGGCCCUGAAAACCAGUGGCGGGCUCGCUAGUCACUCCGAGCGUAGUAAUACAUCUCGCUCAGGGCGUGCUGCGGGUUCCGGCCGUUAAAAAGCCUUAUUUACCCAAGGUUGACCUCGGAUCAGGUAGGAAGACCCGCUGAACUUAAGCAUAUCAAUAGCGGAGGA
rnacentral:misc_RNA from 1 species